UACAGAGGUCUCAAGCGUUGUUCGGAUUCAUUGGGCGUAAAGGGUGCGUAGGCGGCGCGGUAAGUCGGGUGUGAAAUCUUGGAGCUUAACUCCGAAACUGCAUUCGAUACUGCCGUGCUUGAGGACUGGAGAGGAGACUGGAAUUUACGGUGUAGCGGUGAAAAUGCGUAGAUAUCGUAAGGAAGACCAGUGGCGAAGGCGGGUCUCUGGACAGUUCCUGACGCUGAGGCACGAAAGGCCCAGGGGGGAGCAAAACGGGGAUUUAGAAAACCCCC
rnacentral:rRNA from 1 species